rnacentral:rRNA from 1 species
AUUGAACGCUGGCGGCAGGCCUAACACAUGCAAGUCGAGCGACCGGCGGACGGGUGAGUCAUGUCUGUGAAACUGCCUGUUGGAGGGGGCUAACUACUGGAAACGGUAGCUAAUACCGCAUACCAUCAGAUGUGCCCAGAUGGGAGUAGCUGGUAGGUGGGGUAACGGCUCACCCAGGCGACGAUCCCUAGCUGGUCUGAGAGGAUGACCAGCCACACUGGAACUGAGACACGGUCCAGACUCCUACGGGAGGCAGCAGUGGGGAAUAUUGCACAAUGGGCGAAAGCCUGAUGCAGCCAUGCCGCGUGUGUGAAGAAGGCCUGCGGGUUGUAAAGCACUUUCAGCGGGGAGGCGUUACCAACAGAAGAAGCACCGGCUAACUCCGUGCCAGCAGCCGCGGUAAUAC